rnacentral:rRNA from 1 species
AGCGAACGCUGGCGGCAGGCUUAACACAUGCAAGUCGAGCGGGCACUUUCGGGUGUCAGCGGCGGACGGGUGAGUAACGCGUGGGAACGUGCCCUCUGGUUCGGAAUAACUCAGGGAAACUUGAGCUAAUACCGGAUACGCCCUUUUGGGGAAAGGCUUGCUGCCGGAGGAUCGGCCCGCGCCUGAUUAGCUAGUUGGUGAGGUAACGGCCCACCAAGGCGACGAUCAGUAGCUGGUCUGAGAGGAUGAUCAGCCACACUGGGACUGAGACACGGCCCAGACUCCUACGGGAGGCAGCAGUGGGGAAUAUUGGACAAUGGGCGCAAGCCUGAUCCAGCCAUGCCGCGUGAGUGAUGAAGGCCUUAGGGUUGUAAAGCUCUUUUAUCCGGGACGAUAAUGACGGUACCGGAGGAAUAAGCCCCGGCUAACUUCGUG